GAUGAACGCUAGCGGCAGGCCUAACACAUGCAAGUCGAGGGGUAGAACACUUCGGUGUUUGAGACCGGCGCACGGGUGCGUAACGCGUAUGCAAUCUACCUUGUACAGGGGAAUAGCCCAGAGAAAUUUGGAUUAAUGCCCCAUAGUAUAUAACCUUCGCAUGUUGGUUAUAUUAAAGUUCCAACGGUACACGAUGAGCAUGCGUCCCAUUAGUUAGUUGGUAAGGUAACGGCUUACCAAGACGAUGAUGGGUAGGGGUCCUGAGAGGGAGAUCCCCCACACUGGUACUGAGACACGGACCAGACUCCUACGGGAGGCAGCAGUGAGGAAUAUUGGGCAAUGGAGGCAACUCUGACCCAGCCAUCCCGCGUGAAGGAUUAAGGCCCUAUGGGUUGUAAACUUCUUUUGUUUGGGAAGAAAUCUGGACAUUUAUGUGCAGUUGACGGUACCUUACGAAUAAGCACCGGCUAACUCCGUGCCAGCCGCCGCGGUAAUAC
rnacentral:rRNA from 1 species